GCAGUCCUUGUCUUGGGGAGCAAAGUAUUCAAUGAUCGUCUAGUGAGAGUACUGUUGCUGAAGCCCAUUAUUUAAUUAUGAACCGCAUCCACAAUUUUUAUUGUGAGAUGCAAUUUUUGGAUAG